rnacentral:rRNA from 1 species
UGUAAGCGUAUACCAAAGUUGUUGCAGUUAAAACGCUCGUAGUCGGAAUUUGGCAGUUCCGGAUGUGUGCACGUCGUGUGCGCACUUCGCGGGGAUUGCUUUUGUGGUCUUGCGUAGGAUGAGGCACUUUUAUUAGUGAACGUCCUCACGCAACCACUUUUUACUGUGAGAAAAUCAGAGUGCUCAAAGCAGGCAUUUGCCGUGAAUGUAUUAGCAUGGAAUAAUAGAAUAGGACUCGGUUCUAAUUUGUUAGUUUGUUGGGACUGAGUAAUGAUUAAGAGGGACAGCUGGGGGCAUUUGUAUUUCGGCGCUAGAGGUGAAAUUCUUAGAUUGCCGAAAGACAAACUGCUGCGAAAGCGUCUGCCAAGGAUGUUUUCAUUGA